rnacentral:rRNA from 1 species
AUGGAGGGCCUCGCGAGAGAGACCAACCCAUCAUCCCACCAUCAAGAUUUCGCCUCCUGCGCGAGUGACGAGCGCCCGGAUGAGCCCGAGUUGGAAUUGGCAUCGCGACGGCGCCAGAAUGGUGCUGGAAACAACGAGCAUGUGAGUGAGAACAUGCUGCUUGACAGCAGCAAGUUUGGAGCUCUCAAGAGGCGUGAGUUCUUCAACAACCUGCUAAAGAACCUCGAAGACGACCACCCCCGCUUUCUGCGCAGACAAAAGGAAAGAAUUGACAGGGUUGAUGUCAAGUUGCCAGCAAUAGAGGUGAGGUAUAAUAAUCUGUUUGUGGAAGCAGAGUGCAGAGUUACUAAAGGAAAUCACCUGCCGUCUCUAUGGAAUAGUACCAAAGGUGCCUUCUCGGGCCUCGUGAAGUUGCUAGGCUUCGAAACGGAAAGAGCAAAAACCAACGUUCUAGAAGAUGUCAGUGGAAUCAUCAAACCCUGCAGAUUGACUCUUCUACUGGGACCUCCUGGAUGUGGCAAAAGCACUCUGUUGCGAGCUCUUGCCGGGAAACUAGAUAAAUCUCUAAAGGUAACAGGGGAUAUCUCUUAUAAUUGUUAUGAACUUCAUGAAUUUGUACCUGAGAAAACAGCUGUGUAUAUCAACCAACAUGAUCUGCACAUAGCUGAGAUGACUGUGAGGGAAACUUUAGACUUCUCAGCCCAGUGCCAAGGUGUUGGAAGAAGACCAAAAAUACUCAAGGAGGUGAACACAAGGGAGAGUGUGGCUGGGAUCAUACCUGAUGCGGACAUCGAUCUAUACAUGAAGGUAGUAGCAGUUGAAGCUUCAGAGCGAAGCCUACAGACAGAUUAUAUUUUGAAGAUCAUGGGGCUAGAGACAUGCGCAGACACGAUGGUUGGGGAUGCAAUGAGAAGAGGAAUAUCAGGGGGGCAGAAGAAAAGAUUAACCACAGCCGAGAUGAUUGUGGGACCCGCAAAAGCAUACUUUAUGGAUGAAAUAUCAAAUGGUCUGGAUAGCUCUACCACUUUUCAAAUAAUCAAUUGUUUCCAGCAACUGACAAACAUCAGCGAGUACACGAUGGUUAUUUCACUUCUUCAACCAACACCUGAGGUAUUUGAUCUUUUCGAUGACCUCAUACUAAUGGCAGAAGGGAAGAUUAUCUACCAUGGCCCUCGAAAUGAAGCCCUCAAUUUUUUUGAGGAGUGUGGGUUCAAAUGCCCAGAAAGAAAAGCGGCAGCUGACUUUCUCCAAGAGAUCUUGUCCAGGAAGGACCAAGAACAGUACUGGUUGGGUCCACAUGAAUCAUACAGAUAUAUCUCACCUCAUGAAUUAUCAAGCAUGUUCAAGGAGAAUCACAGGGGGAGAAAACUACAUGAACAAAGUGUACCUCCCAAAAGCCAGUUCGGCAAGGAAGCUUUAGCAUUCAAUAAGUAUUCGCUACGAAAACUGGAAAUGUUCAAAGCCUGUGGAGCAAGGGAAGCACUCCUAAUGAAAAGGAAUAUGUUUGUUUAUGUCUUCAAAACAGGCCAGCUUGCCAUUAUUGCACUCGUAACAAUGUCUGUAUUCCUUCGAACUCGCAUGACAAUAAGUUUCACUCAUGCAAAUUACUAUAUGGGAGCAUUAUUUUUUUCCAUCUUCAUGAUUAUGCUAAAUGGCAUACCAGAGAUGAGCAUGCAGAUUGGGAGACUCCCAAGUUUUUACAAACAAAAGAGCUACUAUUUCUAUUCAUCAUGGGCAUAUGCAAUACCAGCUUCAGUCCUAAAGGUCCCUGUUUCCAUACUGGAUUCGCUUGUAUGGAUAUCUAUCACAUAUUAUGGUAUUGGUUAUACACCUACUGUUUCAAGGUUCUUCUGCCAGUUUCUGAUACUUUGUCUUCUCCAUCAUUCAGUCACCUCGCAGUAUCGAUUUAUUGCUUCAUACUUCCAAACACCUAUUGUGUCUUUCUUCUACCUUUUUCUUGCUCUAACAGUAUUCCUUACAUUCGGAGGCUUCAUUCUUCCCAAGACCUCCAUGCCAGAAUGGCUAAACUGGGGAUUUUGGAUAUCUCCAAUGGCAUAUGCAGAAAUCAGCAUAGUUAUUAACGAGUUCUUGGCACCAAGAUGGCAGAAGGAAAGUAUUCAAAACAUAACAAUUGGGAACCAAAUCCUGGUUAAUCACGGCCUAUAUUACAGUUGGCAUUUUUAUUGGAUAUCCUUUGGAGCCUUGCUUGGAUCUAUUCUUUUAUUUUAUAUCGCUUUUGGAUUGGCACUAGAUUACAGAACACCUACAGAAGAAUAUCAUGGAAGCAGGCCUACAAAGAGCUUAUGUCAACAGCAGGAAAAAGAUUCCACUAUUCAAAAUGAAUCUGAUGAUCAAUCAAAUAUUUCCAAAGCAAAGAUGACUAUACCAACUAUGCAUCUUCCAAUUACAUUCCACAAUCUGAACUACUACAUUGAUACCCCACCGGAAAUGCUGAAACAAGGCUAUCCAACAAGAAGACUUCGACUGCUUAAUAACAUAACUGGAGCUUUACGUCCCGGUGUUCUUUCUGCACUAAUGGGUGUUAGUGGAGCUGGGAAGACAACUCUACUAGAUGUAUUAGCAGGAAGGAAAACAGGAGGUUAUAUUGAAGGGGACAUAAGAAUAGGUGGAUAUCCCAAGGUGCAGGAAACAUUUGUCAGAAUCUUGGGUUACUGCGAACAAGUCGACAUACAUUCCCCACAGCUUACAGUUGAAGAGUCUGUAACUUAUUCUGCGUGGCUUCGUCUGCCUUCUCAUGUCGACAAACAAACAAGAUCUAAAUUUGUUGCUGAAGUCCUUGAAACUGUUGAACUAGAUCAAAUAAAAGAUGUCUUAGUGGGGUCACCACAGAAAAAUGGAUUGUCCAUGGAGCAGAGAAAGAGGCUAACGAUUGCAGUCGAGCUUGUUUCAAACCCAUCAAUCAUACUAAUGGAUGAACCAACAACAGGUUUAGAUACAAGGUCAGCAGCCAUUGUUAUUCGUGCAGUCAAAAAUAUUUGUGAAACAGGAAGGACGGUAGUCUGUACAAUCCAUCAGCCGAGCACUGAAAUUUUUGAGGCAUUUGAUGAGCUCAUAUUAAUGAAAACCGGUGGGAAAACAAUCUACAAUGGACCAAUAGGAGAGCGCUCCUGCAAAGUGAUUGAGUACUUUGAGAAAAUUUCUGGAGUCCCAAAAAUAAAGAGUAACUGCAAUCCAGCUACCUGGAUGAUGGAUGUAACAUCGACAUCAAUGGAGGUUCAACACAACAUGGACUUUGCAAUUUUGUAUGAAGAGUCGUCACUGCAUAGAGAAGCUGAAGAUCUAGUGGAGCAGCUAAGUAUCCCAUUACCAAAUUCAGAAAAUCUACGCUUCUCCCAUAGUUUUGCACAGAAUGGCUGGAUUCAACUUAAAGCUUGCUUGUGGAAACAAAACAUAACUUACUGGAGAAGUCCUCAGUAUAACUUGAGGCGCAUUAUGAUGACUGUCAUAUCUGCCCUGAUCUACGGAGUAUUGUUCUGGAAGCAUGCAAAAGUAUUAAACAACGAGCAGGACAUGCUCAGUGUUUUUGGUGCAAUGUAUUUGGGUUUCACAACCAUAGGCGCUUAUAAUGAUCAGACAAUCAUACCAUUCAGUACGACUGAGCGUAUUGUAAUGUAUCGUGAGAAAUUUGCAGGAAUGUAUUCAUCUUGGUCAUAUUCAUUCGCACAGGCUUUCAUUGAGAUACCCUAUGUAUUUAUCCAAGUGGUACUGUAUACGUUAAUUGUCUAUCCGUCAACUGGUUAUUAUUGGACAGCACACAAAUUCCUAUGGUUCUUCUACACUACAUUUUGUUCAAUUCUCUCCUAUGUUUAUGUUGGGUUGCUUCUUGUUUCAAUAACCCCCAAUGUUCAAGUAGCUACCAUACUGGCUUCAUUUUUCAACACCAUGCAAACACUAUUCUCAGGAUUUAUUUUACCUGCACCUCAAAUCCCAAAGUGGUGGACUUGGCUCUACUAUCUCACUCCUACAUCUUGGGCACUCAAUGCCCUCUUGACAUCACAAUACGGAAACAUAGAAAAAGAGGUGAAAGCAUUUGGAGAAACUAAAUCAGUUUCAAUCUUCUUGAAUGACUAUUUUGGGUUUCAUCAAGACAAGUUGAGCAUAGUAGCAACUGUCCUCGUUGCCUUUCCUUUUGUGUUGAUAAUCUUGUUUUCGUUGUCCAUUGAGAAACUUAAUUUCCAGAAGAGGUAA